rnacentral:misc_RNA from 1 species
UCUCCGUUGGUGAACCAGCGGAGGGAUCAUUACAGGAUCGAAAGACUCCUAUAACCCCUGUGAACUUACUACAAAUACGUUGCUUCGGCGGGUGCCCCGGGUCUCCCGGGGCGUUCAGCCCGCCGGCAGCCUUCAAAUUCUGUUUCUUUGCGUUGGCAUCUCGAGUAUACAAAAAUAAGUUAAAACUUUCAACAACGGAUCUCUUGGUCCUG